UCGCCUAAGUUUAUGCUUCACCGGCUGUUUAAUGUGAAAUGAAUGCAUAACGUUAGUAAACAAACCGAUAUAGGCAACAGAGGAUCUCGAGGAAGUUUUUUGCGAGGACUAAUCAAGGCCAUUUAUUUUCGAAGAACAGUUUUGAGAACGUUGAUGGAAAAUUCCUUUGGAUUCAAAUUUUUCUGUUUAGAAUUUUCGCUUUCCAAUAUAAUCCCAGCAACAUCUUAUUUUGAAUCCCCGAACAAAUGGGGAUGAAAUUGGAUUUUGGAAUUAUCAACCGCAAACCAAGAAACUCGAAUUAUGGCAGCAUUGUAUUGAACAGUGAGCAAUAUACGAACGAAAGUGUCUGAAUUAUAAAAACCAAGGCCCGAAUAUCUAGGCCUUUCACACUACGUUCUCAGAGUGACCACAUUAACUUGGUGGAUGCUGCCCAAACGAACAAAAAAUCUGAUCUCCUUCUCAUUGACAAUAAUUCGAUGACUUUGUAUCCCAUCUAAGAAUUCAGAGCGUCUUGACGACUUGAAGAACUGAAACGAAGCUUCUAGAAAUGUUCAAACAUUUCAGGAAGAAUAAAUCGUCAACUACGAAUUGUAUUAAACUUUUCAGAGCCUCAA